rnacentral:rRNA from 1 species
UACAGAGACUGCAAGCGUUAUUCGGAUUCACUGGGCGUAAAGGGUGCGCAGGCGGUUGGGUGUGUCAGAUGUGAAAUCCCGAGGCUCAACCUCGGAACUGCGUCUGAAACUACUCGACUAGAGUACUGGAGAGGGUAACGGAAUUCACGGUGUAGCAGUGAAAUGCGUAGAUAUCAAGAGGAACACCUGCGGCGAAGGCGGGUUGCUGGGCCGACACUGACGCUGAGGCGCGAAAGCCAGGGGAGCGAACGGG